AGCGAACGCUGGCGGCAGGCCUAACACAUGCAAGUCGAACGGAUCCUUCGGGAUUAGUGGCGGACGGGUGAGUAACACGUGGGAACGUGCCCUUUGGUUCGGAACACCUCAGGGAAACUUGAGCUAAUACCGGAUGUGCCCUUCGGGGGAAAGAUUUAUCGCCAUGGGAGCGGCCGGCGUCUGUUUGGCUAGUUGGUGUGGUAACGGCCCAGCACGGCGUCGAUCAGUAGCUGGUCUGAGAGGAUGAUCCGCCACACUGGGACUGAGACACGGGCCAGACUCCUACGGGAGGGAGCAGUGGGUAAUCCAGCGCAAUGGGCGAAAGCCUGACGCAGCCAUGCCGCGUGAAUGAUGAAGGUCUUAGGAUUGUAAAAUUCUUUCAGCGGGGACGAUAAUGACGGUACCCGCAGAAGAAGCACCGGCUAACUUCGUG
rnacentral:rRNA from 1 species